AUUGAACGCUGGCGGCAUGCCUUACACAUGCAAGUCGAACGGUAACAGGUUAAGCUGACGAGUGGCGAACGGGUGAGUAAUAUAUCGGAACGUGCCCAGUCGUGGGGGAUAACUACUCGAAAGAGUGGCUAAUACCGCAUACGACCUGAGGGUGAAAGCGGGGGACCGUAAGGCCUCGCGCGAUUGGAGCGGCCGAUAUCAGAUUAGCUAGUUGGUGGGGUAAAAGCCCACCAAGGCGACGAUCUGUAGCUGCUCUGAGAGGACGACCAGCCACACUGGGACUGAGACACGGCCCAGACUCCUACGGGAGGCAGCAGUGGGGCAUUUUGGACAUUGGACGCAAGUCUGAUCCAGCCAUGCCGCGUGCGGGAAGAAGGCCUUCGGGUUGUAAGCCGCUUUUGUCAGGGAAGAAACGAGUUUCUCUAAUACAGAGACUUAAUGACGGUACCUGAAGAAUAAGCACCGGCUAACUACGUGCCAGCCGCCGCGGUAAAAC
rnacentral:rRNA from 1 species